ACCAACCGCAGGGUGUGUGUGUAUCAGUGUGUUGAAUAAUGCAGGUGUGGAGAGAUCCUAGCAGCCGUCCACCCCCACUUCAUCCACUUCUGCCUUCACAGGACUAGGGGUGGUAUUAGCAUGUAAUAUCUAGCUGUUUUCUUGCAGGAAGAGGGGAUGAAAUAUUAGCGUUGUCCAUUAGGCAACAUUUGAAACAACCUUGAAGAAUUUCCACAAAGUUGUCACCGGUGAAUUAUGACCUUCAACUUCCAUUUGUAAUAUGAUGCAGGAAUGUAAUACAGUUCUCUGUCCUCUCCAGCUGGAAGUCCAACCUCUCCCUGCUGUUCUAACACGGGGGGGGAAGGGGGGCGGCUGUGGUCUGAGGGACAAUUCAGAGAAAGGGAGGGGAUGAGGGGAGGAAAGGAGGGAGUGAGCAGAGGAGGAGGGAGAGGGGGAUUAAUUGGUAGUUUGUCGUGGGUCUCUAAUAGACCCUCAUGCCUCACAUUCCUGUGAUUCCAGGACUGGAGAGGAUAGAGGGAGUGGAGAGAGGAGGAUAGAGAGAGUGGAGAGAGGAGGAUAGCGGGAGUGGAGAGAGGAGGAUAGAGGGAGUGGAGAGAGGAGGAUAGAGGGAGUGGAGAGAGGAGGAUAGAGGGAGUGGAGAGAGGAGGAUAGCGGGAGUGGAGAGAGGAGGAUAGCGGGAGUGGAGAGAGGAGGAUAGAGGGAGUGGAGAGAGGAGGAUAGCGGGAGUGGAGAGAGGAGGAUAGCGGGAGUGGAGAGAGGAGGAUAGAGGGAGUGGAGAGAGGAGGAUAGAGGGAGUGGAGAGAGGAGGAUAGAGGGAGUGGAGAGAGGAGGAUAGAGGGAGUGGAGAGAGGAGGAUAGAGGGAGUGGAGAGAGGAGGAUAGAGGGAGUGGAGAGAGGAGGAUAGAGGGAGUGGGAGAGGAGGGAGCUCAAACCUCCAUAGCAUCACUAGUUAAAACCGGAGACCUUUCUGCAUGGCAUUGAAAUCCACAGAUCUCAGUUGGUUGGAGCGCGGUGGGUGUUUGCAAUGCAAAGGUUGCAAGUUGGAUUUCAACAUGGGCCAUCAAUAUUGAUUGUAAGCAAUACAUGGGAGAAACUUGUGGUUUGGAGGCAGGAGAGUAGGGAGGCAGGAGGGGAGGUAGGCAGGAGAGUAGGUAGGCAGGAGAGUAGGGAGGCAGGAGAGUAGGGAGGCAGGAGAGUAGGGAGGCAGGAGGGGAUGUAGGCAGGAGGGGAGGUAGGCAGGAGGGGAGGUAGGCAGGAGAGUAGGGAGGCAGGAGAGUAGGGAGGCAGGAGAGUAGGGAGGCAGGAGAGUAGGGAGGCAGGAGAGUAGGGAGGCAGGAGAGUAGGGAGGCAGGAGAGUAGGGAGGCAGGAGAGUAGGGAGGCAGGAGGGGAGGUAGGCAGGAGAGUAGGGAGGCAGGAGAGUAGGGAGGCAGGAGAGUAGUGAGGCAGGAGAGGAGGUAGGCAGGAGAGUAGGGAGGCAGGAGAGUAGGGGGGCAGGAGGGAGUGAGGUCGACAGGAGAGUAGGGAGGCAGGAGAGUAGGGGGGCAGGAGGGAGUGAGGUAGACAGGAGAGUAGGGAGGCAGGAGAGUAGGGGGGCAGGAGGGAGUGAGGUAGACAGGAGAGUAGGGAGGCAGGAGAGUAGGGGGCAGGAGGG